GGACAAUAUGGUUGCUUGUAUGAACUUGGCGCUUCUUAACCAUCAUGGGGUAAUUGCUUGAAGUAUUUUAUGUUGGUGUCAUAUCCUACGCAGUUCAUAUAAGAACACCAUGUGCCUGCUUAUCUUUUGCAUACUUUAAUAUGUUGAGUAUUUACGUGAUUAAGUUCUUAGAUAAAAAGGCUCACGUUGGAUGUCACUAUUUUGGUGGUAAAUGGACCAUGCCGACGGGUAGGGCGGCGGAUGGGCGCCAUGGUAUUCCCGAAUGAGAGUGAGAUAUCCAUCAUCGUGCAGCCAAAGAAGUCAAAAUCCGGGCCGAGGUUGGCCACCGUGGCCGGCGUGAAAGCUGACGGACUUGAAGGUCGGUGACAGAUCCGCCACCGUGCACCACCUCUAAACUUGGUGGAGAACUUGGUGGAGAUGCACAAGGAGAACGGUGGCAUUGUGAAGACAUUGACACAUGUUGUCGCGAUCAUAACCAUGACCAAGACAUUGACUCUGAUUUUUGAAAACCAUAGUUUUCUUGCUUUUGUCAGGUAUACCAUAGUGUUUUUCUAUGAGUGUAUUGUAUAUAAUAUAAAUUUACGAAUUUAGAGGGAUGUGUCCUUUUUGUUUUUCAUUUUAUGCUCUUGUGGAACAGGAAAAAACUGGUCAAGCCGGUCUGCAUAGUGAGUAUUGUUCGUUAAACGUAAUAAGACAUUCGAU
rnacentral:lncRNA from 1 species